rnacentral:rRNA from 1 species
GACGAACGCUGGCGGCGUGCUUAACACAUGCAAGUCGAACGGAAAGGCCCUGCUUUUGUGGGGUGCUCGAGUGGCGAACGGGUGAGUAACACGUGAGUAACCUGCCCUUGACUUUGGGAUAACUUCAGGAAACUGGGGCUAAUACCGGAUAGGAGCUCCUGCUGCAUGGUGGGGGUUGGAAAGUUUCGGCGGUUGGGGAUGGAAUCGGGGCUUAUCAGCUUGUUGGUGGGGUAGUGGCUUACCAAGGCUUUGACGGGUAGCCGGCCUGAGAGGGUGACCGGCCACAUUGGGACUGAGAUACGGCCCAGACUCCUACGGGAGGCAGCAGUGGGGAAUAUUGCACAAUGGGCGGAAGCCUGAUGCAGCAACGCCGCGUGCGGGAUGACGGCCUUCGGGUUGUAAACCGCUUUCGCCUGUGACGAAGCGUGAGUGACGGUAAUGGGUAAAGAAGCACCGGCUAACUACGUG